rnacentral:lncRNA from 1 species
CACUCUUCUUACCAGUGGAUUGGAUUGGUGACUGCAGCUUUGUCAGCAGCCAUGACUCCAUGUCCCAGGAUGCAGGGCAACCCAUCUGGGGAAGAGCCGAGGAGGCAGAGGAUGCCCUUCUAUGCAAACUACGGUGGCAGGACCAGCCUUCCACCUCCCUGGAGGUGAUCUGUGCUCUGGAUGUGCUGACUUGGAGAAGCAGGAACCUUUUUCUACAAGAGGCAGUUACCUACAUCCUGAAUUAAGGAAUCUGUUCUGAAACAACACACUCACAGAUUUAAAGCAGUAUUCUUUUUUUUUUUAACCAUAGGAGGUUUCCAGGCCAGGGACUGAAUCCGAGCUGUAGGUGUGACCUACACUGAACCUAUGGCAACAUUGCAUCCCUGCACUGGGCCAGGAAUUGAACCUGCACCUCUGAAAUAACCCAAACUGCUGUAGUCAGGUUCUGAACCCACUUUGCCACAGCGGGAAUUCCUUAAAGCAGUACUCUUCAUUGUAGAGCUCUAAUGAGGUUGUCAGCAAGGGUAAAAAGGUCAUCUUAAUGAUUUAGACCGAGUGAGUGAAUGAGGGAUCUUGUCUUGAGUUUUAUCUAUUUAAUAAGAAAUCUGUUUACUAAGAAACCAGGACCUUGACAGAGAUCCAGAAAUGAUUAUAGAAUUCUCAGCUUGGGGCUGCCAGUAUCCUCAAUGAGUAGCAGCUAAUGCUCCCAAAAUGCCCGUGGCCAUAACGCCACUUUUUUUAAAGCAUGAAAACCUUUCCUUUCAGUUUGACCAAUGCCUAUUGCACGUUUUAAAAAUAUACUUUCAUAAACAUAAUUCUGGAAAAGCUAGAGUGAUGGACAUGAAGGUCUGAGUAAAAUAAAUUAGGUGUCAUAUAUUACUCUGUUAACACAGAGUAAGAAUUUUUUCUUGCACUGCAUCUUUUUGAAGGAUCACAAAUUUCUGUGCUGCUGUCACUACAGAGCCACUAUGCAAGCUUUCUGAGAAAUUAUAAAGGACACACAAAAAGCCUUUGAAGAUGAAAGAAGGGAAAUGCUGUCCCUAUCACAGGAAAUUAGAGACUGCUGGAAUUAUAAGGGUACCAGAGCAAAUGAUCAAACAAGCCAUUAUAAUACUGUAUAGGUAGCAGUGAACAUAGCUUUUAGGAGAACAUCUUAUUAACUAGGAUUACGUAGGGUUUUUUUUUUUAAUGACAUGAGCAAAGCAGUUUUAAUACCAAUAAGAUUUCUGCGUCCACUUGGUUGAGCAAACAACAGAACCGUGGAUCUAGCUUGUCCUUUCUGUGGACUCCCCAUGACACUCUGAAUAUAUCACUCAUCCUUUUAUGUCUUGGAUUCUCUUCCAGUAAAAGCAAAUAAUACUUCCUAUUUGUCAAUAUCCCCUGGAGUGCCCUUGAGAAGUUUAGGACUGGGAUCCAAAUCCUAAGGAUAUUUGUAACCCUAAUAGAUGCUGACAGGGUGGCUUCCUGGCUCACAGCACCCCCAAAUCAGCCCCCCCCCCUUUUUUUGUCUUUUUGCCUUUUCUAGGGCCACUUCCCAUAGCAUAUGGAGGUUUCCAGGCUAGGGGUCAAAUCUGAGCUGUAGCCACCGGCCCACACCACAGCCACAACAACGCGGGAUCUAAGCUGCGUCUGCGACCUACACCACAGCUCAGGGCAAUGCUGGAUCCUUAACCCACUGAGCGAGGCCAGGGAUUGAACCCUCAUCCUCAUGGUUCCUAGUCGGAUUCAUUAACCACUGCGCCACGACGGGAACUCCCAAAUCAGCCCCUUUGAUGCAGAAAGUUUGUGAUAGAAAAUGGUCCUAUCUGGACUGCAGGAGCCUAGUCCCUUUGCCCUCAGCUGAUUAGUACAGGGAUAGUCCCUUCAUUCCAACUGGGCUAAUCAAAUUCUUCUCCCAGGACACCAAGUGGAAAGACAGAAAGGCACUCAAAGAUUGGAAAUUGUCAAUCUAGAGAGUCGUGAGAUACUUUUAAUUAAAGUUGUGAAAUAACAGAAGUUCCCAUGUGGCUCAGCCAGUUAAGGACCUGGCAUUGGCAGUGCUGUGGAUUGGGUCUCUGCUGUGGCCUGGGUCUCUGCUGUGGCCUGGAUUUGAUCUCUAGCCCGGAAACUUCUGCGUGCCUCAGGCACAGCCAUAGAUAAAUUAAACUGUGAAAUAAUAAAAUAGAUAACAAGGCAAUAUUCUCAGCCCCUCCCCUCACACAUUGGCGUGGCUCCCUCCCAGAGCCUAUAGUCAUCCCAGCUGGGGCCUGCUGUGCAGGACAGGAACCCAUCCCUCAUCCUUUGGGGAUGCUCCAUUCUACAGCCUUCCAUCCCACAUAGGGUCAACGAGACACUGCCAAGACUCCUGCCUAUGCAGUAACCCAGGAGCCCCACGGCUGGGCCCUGGUUCCAGUAGGUGGCCUGGUGUGGUAGUUCCUCUUGCUGUCUGGCAUAGCCUCUCUUUUGUGGAAUUGUAGGAGAUAGGGCUGCCAGGAUGGCGCUGACAGACCGAUUUGGGAGCCCUACACACCCUAUUGGUCCCUGUCAGAGAGCAUUACUAGCGGUAAACUUAUAUAAAUAUAGUUUAUAUAAAUCAUAUAAAAGAAUAUAAUUUAUGUUAUAUAAAUAUAUAAAUAUCAUUUAUACAAAUGUCAUUAUUUAAAUAAAUACAUUUAUAUAUGUAAUAAUUCC